GGGCUGAGGUUAAAGCUGUUGUUAUGGAAGGGUUGAGCGUAGUGGUCGAAGAUUUGGCGAGUUUGGUCAGAAUCCUGGUUGGUUUCUUCCUCGCUCGAUUGCAUGAUUGUGCCAGUGUUGCCCCAUUCGUAUUCCAGCAUUUUGCUAUGUGCAGACGGCCUCUUCUCCCUGCGGGCUACGACGUUUCUGCGCACAGAACAUAUAGUGAGAGAGAGAGAGGAAGCAAAAGUCUCUCCUCCCCGCUUGGCCCUCCGGCGUGCGACAAGGAUUCCAAGGCACUUCUGUUCAUCGAGGAGAUGACGAGGAAAGCAGACGCUGUCCAGGAGAGGGUUUUGGGGGAGAUACUGCUUCGGAACGCCAAGACUGAGUACCUCAGGAGGUUCCAGCUCAAUGGAGCUACGGACCGAGACACGUUCAAGUCGAAAAUCCCUGUCGUUUCUUAUGAGGAUCUUCUACCUGACAUCCAGCGUAUUGCUAAUGGUGACCGAUCCUCCAUCUUCUCGGCUCACCCCAUUUCUGAGUUCCUGACCAGCUCUGCGACUUCGGCUGGUGAGAGUAAAUUAAUGCCGACGAUUCAUGAAGAGUUGGACCGUCGCCAGCUAUUGUACAGUCUUCUCAUGCCGGUGAUGAACCUAUACGUUUCCGGUUUAGACAAAGGGAAGGGACUCUACUUCUUGUUCGUGAAGGCAGAAACAAAGACUCCCGGUGGGCUCUUGGCACGUCCGGUGCUCACCAGCUACUACAAGAGCGAACAUUUCAAGACCAGGCCGUAUGACCCUUACAACGUCUACACCAGCCCGAAUGAGGCUAUUCUCUGCGCCGACUCGUUUCAGAGCAUGUACACCCAGAUGCUCUGCGGCCUCCUUAUGCGCGAAGAGGUUCUCCGGGUCGGUGCUGUGUUUGCCUCCGGCCUGCUAAGAGCCAUCCGGUUCCUACAACUUCACUGGCAACAACUGGCCCAUGACAUCUCUGCUGGAGCCUUAAACCCUAAAAUUACAGACCCUGCUCUCCGGGAUUGCAUGUCCAAAAUAAUUGUCAAACCCAAUCCCGAACUCUCCAAGUUCAUAACCCAAGAGUGUUCAGGAGAGAACUGGGAAGGUAUAAUCACAAGAAUUUGGCCUAACACGAAAUACCUAGACGUGAUUGUAACGGGUGCAAUGGCUCAGUACAUACCCACUCUUGAAUAUUACGGCGGGGGGCUACCUCUUUCAUGCACUAUGUAUGCCUCCUCCGAAUGCUACUUUGGGCUUAACCUCAAGCCAAUGUCCAAUCCUUCUGAGGUUUCCUACACUAUCAUGCCAAACAUGUGUUACUGCGAGUUCUUGCCACAUGAGCCGGACGCUCCAGCUGUAUCUCGUGACUCACCUCCACCGCUUGUUGACCUUGCCGACGUCGAAGUUGGGAAACAAUACGAGCUCAUAAUCACCACCUAUGCCGGGCUUUGUCGCUACCGAGUGGGCGACAUCCUACAAGUCACCGAUUUCUACAACUCGGCUCCCCAAUUUCGCUUCAUAAGAAGAAAGAACGUGUUGUUGAGCAUCGACUCGGACAAGACGGACGAAGCUGAGUUGCAAAAGGCUGGCGAUAAUGCAUCAGCGCUCCUACAGGAAUUCAACACAAGUGUGGUCGAGUACACGAGCUAUGCAGACGCAAAAUCAAUACCAGGACACUAUGUAAUUUACUGGGAGUUGCUGGUGAAGGAACCGGCUAACCCUCCGACUCAUGAGGUCCUGAACCUAUGCUGCUUAGCCAUGGAGGAGUCUCUGAACUCGGUGUACAGACAAAUCCGAGUUGCAGACAACUCGAUCGGUCCCCUUGAGAUCAGGGUGGUCAAGAACGGCACCUUUGAAGAGCUCAUGGAUUAUGCAAUCUCCCGGGGUGCAUCUAUCAACCAGUACAAAGUUCCAAGGUGCGUUAACUCCUCCCCGAUUGUGGAAUUUCUCGACUCCAGAGUGACCUCGAAGCAUUUCAGCCCUGCGCCGCCGCAAUGGAACUCCGAACGACGUUGAUGUUGGCCGCAUGCAUGACGGCAUGAAAUAAGAGAGAAGCUGCUAAGAUUCUGGUGUGCGUCCUUAUGUUGAUCAUGAGCGCCUUAUAGCUACCUAGCUAGGGUCGAUGAUGAGAAGAAAGGCCGUGUGACUCAUGAAUUUGCCAAAAUUAAAUUCCAAGCUUGGAGCAAUAUUAUAUAUGAUAAGAGCUAGGGAAAUAGCAUAUAUCAGUACUUCAAGUUUAUUUAGAAAUUUAAGAUAAUGUUCUCGUGCAUAUCGAUGAUUCUUUGUAUAAAUCAUGGACUUAAAGAAACAUAGAUACAGAAAGGACCUUUACAACUAGU